GACAGAGGUGCCAAGCGUUAGGCGGAAUCACUGGGCUUAAAGCGUGUGUAGGCGGACUUGUAAGUACCUUGUGAAAUCCCACGGCUCAACCGUGGAACUGCUUGGUAUACUGCUUGUCUUGAGCCACUUAGGGGCUACCGGAACAAAUGGUGGAGCGGUGAAAUGCGUAGAUAUCAUUUGGAACGCCAAUGGUGAAAACAGGUAGCUGGGGCUGUGCUGACGCUGAGACACGAAAGCCAGGGGAGCAAACGGG
rnacentral:rRNA from 1 species